rnacentral:lncRNA from 1 species
CUGGCAAUCUGGGUACAACAAUUUUUUGUGAUCAUCUAUUAUGCGCUGCAACUUUGCUGCUUCCUUCUCAGUUUUGCAAUCUCUGUCUACAACUCAUAGCACCAGACCAAAGUCAUCAGUAGGGCCAUUUUCUGCAAACUCAUCUUCAUCAGCCUCGUCCAUUGUAGUAUCUGCAAAAGCUUGGCCUGCAACCCAGUCCGGAAUGCUGUCAUCCUCCUCCUCCUCCUCACCAUCUUCCAUUACAACCCCUCAUUCAAAUAGUUAGGCAUGAAACCGUAUCUAAACAAGUGGCUGUGAAUAGUCCCCCAGGAAUCCUUUGAAUAGUCCUUCUUGUUAUUGCAUUGGAAGCAUGGACAACAUACGAACUCAUUCUCUGGCUUGUUCGCUUUGGCCACUUUGAGAAAAUAAUGCAAGCCAUCAAUAAACACCUUGCUCCGC